rnacentral:snRNA from 1 species
UAGUGUUACGGGUCUUUUAGAAUCUGUCUAGCAGGUUUUCCAGUCCUCACCAGAAGACCACU